AUUGAACGCUGGCGGAAUGCUUUACACAUGCAAGUCGAACGGCAGCACGGACUUCGGUCUGGUGGCGCGUGGCGAACGGGUGAGUAAUACAUCGGAACGUGCCCAGUCGGGGGGGGUAACGUAGCGAAAGCUACGCUAAUACCGCAUACGAUCUAAGGAUGAAAGCGGGGGAUCGCAAGACCUCGCGCGAUGGGAGCGGCCGAUGGCAGAUUAGGUAGUUGGUAGGGUAAAGGCCUACCAAGCCGACGACCUGUAGCUGGUCUGAGAGGAUGAUCAGCCACACUGGGACUGAGACACGGCCCAGACUCCUACGGGAGGCAGCAGUGGGGAAUUUUGGACAAUGGGCGCAAGCCUGAUCCAGCCAUUCCGCGUGCAGGAUGAAGGCCUUCGGGUUGUAAACUGCUUUUGUACAGAACGAAAAGGCUCUGGUUAAUACCCGGGGCUCAUGACGGUACUGUAAGAAUAAGCACCGGCUAACUACGUGCCGGCCGCCGCUGUAA
rnacentral:rRNA from 1 species